rnacentral:rRNA from 1 species
UACGAAGGGGGCUAGCGUUGUUCGGAAUCACUGGGCGUAAAGCGCACGUAGGCGGACCUUUAAGUCAGGGGUGAAAGCCUGGAGCUCAACUCCAGAACUGCCUUUGAUAUUGGAGGUCUCGAGUGUGGAAGAGGUUGGUGGAACUGCGAGUGUAGAGGUGAAAUUCGUAGAUAUUCGCAAGAACACCAGUGGCGAAGGCGGCCAACUGGUCCAUUACUGACGCUGAGGUGCGAAAGCGUGGGGAGCAAACAGG